rnacentral:lncRNA from 1 species
GAGGAUCUGGACUGUUGUUCCCAAAUCACUAUUGGAAAAUAUCCAUAUAUUUUACAGAAAAUGUCAGACAUGUUUUUUGGAAGGACAUUGUGGACACUCUGGGGCAGUUCUAAGUCACCCAACACUUUGCUGUUUAUAGUGGUUCUUCUGGCAAGGAAAGUUUGUCCCUUGAACCUCCGUUGACUGUGUGGCUAAAGCAGAAAGGCUUCUCUAGGGAUGUACCAUCUGGCUUGGAGACAGAUCCUUGACAAAGGCAACUAGAGACUGUUUUCUGACACCUGCAAUUUUGCCAAACUGUGGCCAAAAUCAGAUUGUGCAACAUGUAUGUCAAAGAGCAAAGGCUGAGCAAACCUUCACAGGAACUGUAACGUGCCCAAAUGCUGUGUGGAGUCCAUGGUCUCCUGUGGUAUGCUUUGGCAGUGAGGCAUGCAUAGAAAUAGCACAAGGUGAUGUAAUAAACAGACCAAAUAGCAUGUCAC